rnacentral:lncRNA from 1 species
CACAUCCCCAUGUGAUUGGCUUGUAGGGUACUAUUCUUUCACUAUAGUGUAGGGACACUAGGCGACGAGUGCGGAUAGUUGUUAGAGAACAACUAGUACUGAGUGUGAUCAUAUGAGAGAUCACUUAAAUUUCUACUCGACCAUCAGUGAUCAUCUCAAUGUUGUAAUUGUGUGAAUGAUCUUUUGACCUAAGAUUGUAUUACAACCCAC